rnacentral:lncRNA from 10 species
CCUGGCUAAUUUUUGUAUUUGUUUGUAGAGUCAGGUUUCACCAUGCUGCUCAGGCUGGUCUAGAACUCCUGGGCGCAAAUGAUCUGCCUGCCCCCACCUCCCAAAGUGCAGAGAUUACAGGCGUGAGCCACCACACCUGGUCCCACAUCUUUUUUCUUUUGUCUUUUUUUUUUUUUUCAGACAUGGUCUCACUCUGUCACCCAAGCUGGAGUGCAGUGGCGCAAUGAUAGCUCACUGCAACCUUGAGCUCCUGGGCUCAGGCAAUCUUCCUGCCUCAGCCUUCCAAAGCACUGGGAUUCCAGGCACAAACCACCGUGCCCAGCCAGCGCUUCACUUCUUUGUUGCCUUCAAGUAAUCCUGAAAACAUAACAAGGGCCCUAGACGUGAACUGUGGAAGACGCUGAAUAAGGACCAACAUGUCUACAGUCCAGCCUAGAAAACAGGAUGCCUGUAAUCAUUAUUCAGUGAGCAGCAACCUGCAGCAGCUCCUCCUGACUGGCAGAUGGGCCUGGCGGCCACCCAGAGGCUGGGGACACAGCAAGAAUCCAGCACAGCACCGAUCCCGAUUCCCUCCUCCCCAAACUACCUGAGCCAUGG